CUGUGAAAACUGAAACCAAUAUAGAUUAAGAACAAAAAGUUCCAAUGAGUUUUCAUGAAAGAAUCCAAAGGGAAGUAUAAAUGAAAUAAAUUGACAUUGAUCUCAAUGAGAAUGACAGGUAUAGUAUCAAAAGACCAUAUUAAUAGAAACCACCACUCUCUCUAUAUAUAUAAAUAGUAUAUUAAAUAGCGCCUACCAUAUUGUAUUGUAUUGCUUUCUUGAUGGAUCAUACCCUAUAGCUACAUGAAGAAUGUCCCUCACUUCCAAAAUUUUAGUCCUAUUAACAUCACAUGCCUAAAAUUUGUCACUGCACAUUCUUACACAAUAAUAGUUACUGAUGGUGAUUGAAAACAUAUUUUGGGAUGUAGAAAAUUGUCGUUGCAAUUCUCAAUUUUAAUAUCAUUAUUCUCUGUCUUUCCAUUCAAAUGAUGGGAUUACCUCAAACAAGCUUGAAAGGGUUUAUUAUUUAUUAAUUACUUAUUGAGUGGGGUAUUUCCUUCCUUGUCUAUUUUUUCCUACUAUAUGGUUAUUCUAUUUUAUUUUCACACAUGAGUUAAGUAAGUUAUCUUUUGGGUGUUGUCAAAAAUUAAUUAAGGAGAUAAGAUUUUGAAAAUUAGGGGUUUUUUAGGAUAAGAAAACAAGAGAUAGAAUAAGAAGAAAUGUUAAUAAUAUAAGCAAAAUUCAUGACCCACAAUUUUUAAUUUUAUUGAUCAUUAUGCUCUGCUGAUGUCUGCAAGUAUAGUUGUGAUGCAUGAGAGCCAAGGUGGGACCAUUUAUUUAAGGGCUCAUGAGUCAUGAUUCAUAGACACAUCAUACAUGCACUUGAUUGGGACCCCUUGCUUUUGUCAAAACCCACUUUUCCUUUUCUCUUUUUCAAAUUAUACUUUUUACCUGUU
rnacentral:lncRNA from 1 species